CACAAGUCUUGCCACUCCUUCGCGCCCAGUUUCUGUAUGCAAGGUCAUCCUCCUGGUGCUACCUUAGAAACUGGCCUUAUUCUAUAGAGGACAUUGAAUGAUAACACUGCGAGUCAGCUGACUGCUGUGUCACAGAGCUGCUGCUUUCUACAUUAUCGCAACUGCCAGAGCUCUUACUGCUGCAGUUUUCUAGUCGCAGUGCGGCAAAGCAGACGCAUAGAACCAGGCACAAAGCAGCAUAGAUUUUUUUUUAUUCUUAUCUUUUUCAUACGAGGGGAAUAUUCCUGGUGUUAGCGUAGGAACAGACACAGCUUGGAUGUGUUGGCUUCCGCCUGGCAGCAUUUUCAGCUGAGCAGGGAUUGCUCGGAGCUCUGUACCCAAAUUGCCUCUGAGGAAGAACGCCUGAUUUCCCACUUUGCGUACUAAGAGAGUUUUUUUUCUUUAUGCUACAGUGAUGUACCUGCAGCAAUAGGACAAAGGAGAUGGUACUUGUCACUAUCUGUCCGACUGGGGCCUUUUGCAGGUACUCCACGGCCGAAGCUGUGCCAGCAUCCCAGGGUCAGAUAGAUCGGUAAUACAGAUUGCUGCAAUUUCUUACAUCAGUUAGGGCAAAGCUCAAACAAGAAACCAGACUCUCUGACCUAAAUCAGUCCCAGUCCUUCUGGAUACAGGGCAGCAGUCGACUAGCAAUGACACAACCAGCCAUCAAGUGGAGAGUCUCUGGGAUUGCAAUCUGUAUCAGUUGGAGCCUGAGAGAAUGAAACCCUUUCGGGUAUCCAGUCGCUUCUUCUUCUAAUACUACAAAUACUACAACUGCAGCUACUACUACUGCUACUUCUGUUUUUCUUGCCUGUAAGAAGCUGUUAAUUGCGGUUGGUCUCUGCCUGUACAUUUGUGUGGAUUAGUCUGUCUGUCUGUAAUGCAGUCCUUAUCUGCUCCUGCUGGAAACCGGGGCACGAAGUCAGCCUGCUUUAACAGUUGUUUCUUUCUGCGUGAUGCUAUGCAACUAGAAUGGGUUACACUGACAACAAAGGAACAAGCACAAUGCACCACUAUCUUUGCUGGACUGUUACAGGAACAUAGCUCUUCUUCGAUAUGACACCCUGAUCUCUUCUCUUUGCUGGCUUUUUUUUUUUUUUUUUUUUUUUUUUUUUUAAUCGAAGAGCCUAACAAACACCAUUGUGAAUGUGGCUUUUAAUGAUUUGGAAAAGACAGCCUGUGGAGACUGCGAUUCGAGACAGCAACACAUUUAGGUUAUUGCCAAUUUUAAAUACUUGUUUUGUGAAGCACAGCCCUAAGGGACGAGCUCAGUAACUGAGGGAGAGAUUGUAGAUAAAGAAAUAAAAAUGACAAGCGUAAUGGAGGCUCUGCAAAAGAGACUGUCAGAGAAUCAGUUCAUGGAUGGCAAUUUCACCAGUCUGAAUCUGAAUAAUUCAUAGAUUGAAAUUACCCUGCUUUCACCUUUCCAUUUAAACCGGCAUGAUCUGAAUCUCUAAUAAAUUUUCAAGAUAAAGUAAAAUGCCAAUUUGAAUCUGAAGAGCUUUUAAAACCAGAUGCUACACCCUGAAUCUUUCGAUACCUUUCACAAUUAUCCUGUGAGAACUGCACUUCAUCACGAAGCACCAUUACCAGUGAAAAUUACUGUGAUUACAAUAGCAACAAUAGAAUACCAUCAAAUGAUCUCUAAUCUACCUAAUUUACCAAGGCUGACUGUGUGCCCAUUGUGUUUCACCACGUCUGGCAUUGGAUCAAUAUCAUAGUGGAACAAAAAUGCCUUAGUGUGUGCUUCCUUUUGGUACCUUUAACUUUGACAGCACAGGAAAAAAAUCUACCCGCUGUUAAAUGUUUUUACAGCCAAUCUACAUGCCUGCUGUAGGAUCUGAUUGAUUCUCUAUGAUUUUCUUUAGUUCUUGGGUAUCAGAUGUCUUUGUGUUACUAAUUAGUUUAUAAUGUAUAAUCAUGCACAAAGACUGCAGCAAGUGAGUGCCAGCACAGGGACCCUGCACUACUGCUGCAGUUGUAGCACUCUCACUGGGGAAGCCAAAAAGAGUUUGGUGCCUUAUGUGAAUAAUUACUCCUGUCUGAGUUAGAAAUGCUUUGUGGCAUCACCGGUCUUGGUUGUACGACAUGAAAAAUGUAUGCAAAAGCCAUGGUCAAGGGAAAUGAUUGCGUGUAAUACUAACAAGAUUUUCUCCCCAUUCAGCAAUUAGCAUGUGGUCGUGAGAGACAGGCUGUGACUCCUUCUGUGUGUGUGUGUGUGUGUGUGUGUGUUUGUGUGUGUGUGUGUGUAGGUAUGCAUGCACAUACAUAAAUGUAAAGCUACUGUGCUCUGUGAAUGAAUACGUGCUGAUCUCUGAAAGUAACAACUUUCUCUGACAAGCCAGGCGCUGUGUUUUGCCGCAAUCUGCUCGGCUGUAACAAAUCCCUCUUUUGAAGGUGUAAAUUUCCUAUAGGAUGAUGCAUGACUUCUGGAACAGUAAGUACCAUUUAUGCAAUAUGUUGGUGGGUACAGCAAUGAUGCAGAAUAGUAUUUUAUGCAUAGUUUGAGUCCUUGUAACAUAACUAGAAUGUGAAGAAGUGAGAAAUGUACAGAAGGCUAGAAGCAGGCAUGGAGGCGACUGUAUCUGCUGUUUGUAUGUGUGUGAGUUAUACACUUCAGGCUUGUUUUUCAUUUUAUAAUCAGAUUUAUUCUGCCUUCAUGGAAUAUUUUCUAAGGGAGGAAGGUAAGCGGUAUUUCUUCUUAUUUCUGUGGUGAUGUGUUACUGUUAAGGAUACUGCAUGUUUACAGCACAAAGUUAUAUAAUACAGCAUGAUCUAAUGACAUCUAAUUAAAUGUUUCAAUAUUUGUUCAUGUUAAAACUGGUCAACAAAGCAUAUUUAAAAUAUGUUAUUUUAUUGAAAAUACACUUCUAGAACUGCUAUGCAAAAGCGAUUUGCAGAUUUUGUUUGCAUUCAUAUUUUGCUCUUUACUGUUGUUAAAUAAGUAAAGAGCAAAGUAUUAAGUAUUCUACCUAAAUACUAAUGGUCUUGAAACCUUCGAUUUUUAUAUAUUUUUUAUUUUCAAAACACAAUUUACUGUAUUUCUAAAGUCUCUGAAGGUUUUACAGCUUGAGCUGUGAUGACAAAGGAACUUGAAAGGGCACAAAAUAUGAUUAUACAAAAGUUUCAAAUUUUAAAUUAUUCAGUAAUGUAAUUUAGCAAAAUGCUGUCCUUAGACAACACACUCUCAAGAUAGUAUACUAUCUGGAAAUAAUUCGUCCAUUCAAUGCUAUCUUUAUAUUCUUCAUUUUCACGUAGUAUUUGAAACUUAACAAAGAAAAAGCUGGGAGCAAAUACUGAAACUUUGGUAAAAGUGUAACACCUACAUUAUGGUACUGUGGGAAUAAAAUCAAGAUAUUUGGACUGAACUCUGCUGAAGAGAACUAGUAAUUGUGGUUUAUUUUAUAAGGGGCAUUUAUGUUUUUAUGUACAGAAAUAUAGCAUACACUGGUAUAACUACUAUACUGCAAGGAUCACGCAAACACAUCAAGAUAUGAAUGUUUUACAAAAUACCGUCAGCAUUUACAGUACUAUUGUUACUGCCACACUUCUCCAGAUUCAUAUGCAUGGAAGUAAUGCAUGGAAGUCAUGGUCUGUUAACCAACUGGAUUCCACGGGGUAUUUACAACCCUAAUAUUUUUAUCAGUCUUAUGUGCUGCAAGAGCCUGUAGAAAGCAGCUGGCCAUGGGGUGCAAGGUGUCCUCACUAACAAGCGCAGAGCAGAGCUAAGGGAGAGCUCAUAAGCUAUUGGUGGCUUCACAUAAGGGCCCAGUCCAAAUCCUUCUGUGGAACCACACUGGAGUCCUCUAACUUUGUGUUUCUGUUAUUGAACUUUAUACAUGCCCCUAGUUUUCUCCCACUGCUCCAUACUGGCUGCACAUUCCAAAACAUGAAGUGCUGGUCAGGCCUAAUGCUGUUUGUCAGUGUGAGCCCCUGCAGGAUUUGUCAGAUGCUGUUAGGACAGCACACUCAGGAGGUGAAAGCAUCAAAGAGACUCUGCUAAAAGUACUUUGGACAAGUUUGAAAACCUUGGGAAGUGAACUCUGCCACUUGGGGUGAUGUGUGUUUCAAAGGCAACAGGAUUGCACCCUGUCAGCAGGAUACACUGCACACACAAAUGGGGAAAAAAAAGCCUUUAAACCUUUCCAGAUUCAAGAAAUAUUACUUAAUAGUAAUAUUACUGAAUAGAAAGUUUUAAAAUGCAGUGAAGUUAUAUCAUCCAUGUAUUUUCUGUAUUUUCUAUCAGAUAGCUAUAGCUGAAGUGUUUAGUAUUUAUAAUUGUGUUUAUAUAGUAUUUAUAAUUGUGUUUAUUUAGUAUUUAUAAUUGUAUUUAUAAUGUGUCAAAAAAAUGGCAGAUUGCAACAUGAAACUUCUAAAAUAAGGCUACUAAUUUCAGCAAUAGGGAUUCUACUGUUAAUAUACAUCAUAUCAAAAGAUAUAUUAGUCUGUUUUUAUGCCUGUUUUUCACUAUUUUACACUCGCUUAUAAAUCAAUCUCCAAUGGCAAAGGAAGGACAAAAUCCUUCUUUACAUGAGUUCCCAACUAAACUGAGUAAAAUUUUCCCUCCAGUGAAAUUAUUCCCAUGCAUUUGGUGGACCUUUAUCUGCAACUAGGCAGCAACCGUGAUGCAACCGCACACAUGAAAAACAUACUGGAGCCCAUUCAAUUACCACAGAAUUUAUUAACAAGUCUCCCUGUGCCAUCAACAUUAAAGAUAGAUCCAUUAAUUUCCUUCCAUUGCAUCUUUUUUGUGAAAGUUGCUGUUAUUUUGUUUUCCCUGAUUACAAGGGUCCUGUAUAGUUGACACAAUGCUGAAUAGAAGAUCCUUUCUGUUCACCAGGACACAAGACCUGAGCCAAACAUACACUGAAAACAGUAUCUCAGGAUAGGUUUAUUUGACAACUGACAAGACCUUCUCAUCUGUAGUCGAUAAUAUUUGUUCUCACUUGCUUGUCAAUUCUGAAUUAUCAUCUGCUAUAAAACACACAAGUUCUAACCUGUAAUGGUUGUAUCUAUUUGGACAAGAGCCCUGAGGAUAGGGGGUCUGUUGUGGGUUUCAUUGGGGUUUUUUUUCACUGUACUGUUGCUUUGAAUUAGUUGCAACUGCCUAUGGAAAUAUGAUCCCUUAAGAAUGUAGAGACAUACAUUAUUAAUGAUUAUGUAUGAAAAUUUGCUAGAUUCCCCUGCCUUCUGGCUGCUAUGAAUUUCACACCAUCAUCCCCAAAGAAAAACAUUAGGGAGAAAGUAAGACCAAUGUAACUUGAAAUUAAAACAGCAGCAUUUCCAAACCAAUCAUUUUUGACACAGGAAAUUCAGAGUUAAACAGAAGAAAAUCCAAGUGGUUCACUGACACAAUUAAAAUACCUGAGCAGCUCCCUUCCUCUUUGAUGUCAUAACUCCAGGAUGUGGUAGAGGUAAAUAAUUUUGCCAUGUCAGUUUUUACUAUACAGAUAGGAUCAAAAACCACCUUUGGCUUCAAAAGUAUUUGCACUGCAUUUCAUAGUAUCAGUUCAGUUUCUUUAUAGACUAUAAAUGUACACCUGCUCUGUGCUUUUAGCUGUGUAACAUUACCAGAAGUUCUGAAAAUCAGAUGAUUUCUGACUAACCAAAAGAGGAAAAUGAAAUCCUAAAUGGGAAUAGCAGAAGAAGCAAUGGGUUUCCCAAGUCUCAUUCCAACAGAGAUUCUUGCUGGGGCUUUUCCAGGCCAGGUUAAACUUCUUAUUGUGUUAGAACUUGUUCUUAAAAAGCUCCCAUAUUUAAAAAUGAGCAGAAUUCAAAAUAUGGCCAAAGUUUUGCCUAAAACCAUAAUGGAUUCUUCUCAUUUUCUAACUACAUUUGAUAUUAUUUCUGCCACAGGUCUUGCCUCAAAUUUUACCAAGAAACUCUGUCCUAAAGAAUAUUUGCAAUGCUAUACUUCAUUUGUAGAUGGUCAUGCAUAGUGAAGCACACACAACAAAUUAGUAGUUGUGGUAAAGGCUAAACUGGCAAAUGUUGUUAAAAUAGCAAAUAUAUAAAUUGAUUCAUUAUGGUGUUGUCACGGUACUGUUCACUAAUACUCAAUAUUUCAGAGAGAUAGUGCAGAAAUAAUAUCAAAUGCCUAUGUUCAUUCAAAACCCACCUGCAGUGGCACAGCAGUCACAACAACUGGCUACCCCUCUAACCUGCAGGUAAGAAGUUUCACUGAGGUAGCCAAAGGAUGAGAUCCCCCAUCUUGUGCUCCUAAAAGCAGUAUCCUGGUUGGUGGGGCCCGAGAAGAGGCAGGUGUGCAGAGGGGCAUUGACAUGACUCCCUUCUGACUCACCUACAAACCAAAAGUGGGAAAACAUUAUUAAGUAGUUAAAGACGACUAGGAACAUCUUUAAUUUCUAUGUUUUCAGAGGCAGCUUUUCUGCAAAUUUGUCAAAUUGAUACCUAGCACGACUAUCUGUGUGCUGAAACUCCAAGUCACACAGAAAUUUUAACUUGUCAAUUGAUAUUGUGGAAAAAGGGUCCAUAACCCAAGAGACUACACUAAUGUUUAAUCAUAUACAUUACCUUUAGUUUGCAUGUAAAUGGCACUGCCUAUGCCACUGCACCCAUCAUGUCUGUAAAGUGACCAUGUAUUUCAGAUUUGUCUUAAGCAGCUUCAUCCCAUUUAAACUGGCCUUUUUGGUAAUGGUAUUUUUGCUUUUCUUUUGAGUAACAUAGCAUGCCCUUUGUUAUGCAUGCAAGUAAGCAUGAAUUGUUGCAACUCUUUUUGUCAAAAGGUAUCGCUUUUCCUCAAAGCUUGUCUGUACUAAACUUACCACCUUUCUAUGAGGGGCAGCCUGCCUCUGCAAGCUGAUGGGGUUCAUAUGGUUAUGAAUUGCUUGCAGUUGUAUUUUUUGUAUUCCGUGUUUGUUUCCUUAUUUUAGAAGUUGGAGUGCACCCUUUUGUCUGCCACAGAACUUAAUGCUACGUAAUUAUUUUUUAAAAAAUCAACAUGCUUCAUCUUCUGAAUGCCUCAGAGUGUGUGUGACUUCCUGAGCUCUCAGAGCAGAAUCUAGAGUAUGUGCAGGAUGGAUUUCAUUGAGGAGGAAAAAAAAAAUUAAAAAUAAUGAAAUUUUCUGGUGCUUCUGAUAGUUUGCCUCAAUUUAGACAAUACUUGUAGCCAUAAUCUUUGAGUCUUUAUUUUACUUUUGUAAAUAAGUACCUCUAAACACAAUUCUUUCACCUUAUAGGGCACUUCAUGAAAAUAAUUUCUUCAACAAAUGUGAGUCACAUAAUGAAUCAGUAACAGUUGGGGGAAAUCCUGAUGGAAAGUAGUGCUCUCAUCAUUAGUGCUGUGUGUGGUAAAUUAGGAGCAGGCUCUUCAGGAAAUGAGGACAAAAAGGCGGAAUUGCUGCUCAUUAAGAGUUUGUCUUGAGCACAGAGUUCAUGCUCUUUAAGAACAAUAUGAACAUCCUAAGUUUGUGUUUGAGAUAAAUACAUAUAUACACACACACAUAUGUAACUUGGGGGAAUUUUGAUCACUAGCUAAUACACAAAAGUUAUAAAAUCAGCUACUCCAAAGAAUUCUAAGUUUCCAUGGUACUUUGAGAAUGUUAGGGGCAAAAAAUAAAAUAUAGUUGUCAAGGAGUAUCAUAAAUGUGUGAAAAUUACUGAAUAUCUAACCACAUUUUUUGGGUUUUUUUUUUGGGGGUUUUUUUGGGUUUUUUUUGGUUUUUUUUUAUAAAGCAUUCAAAUGCUGUCUUAAUGUAGUACUGAAAAAUUCCCAGCCUCCCUUCUGUUUCAAAUUUGGAGAGGUCCUUUCAUGUUCCACUAGAACAGUAGCCUAGGGACUCUUGGCAGGUACGUAUUUCUAUCCAGAUAUUUUAUAUUAUUUGUGGAUAAGUAGUCUACUUUCUUCCACAAUUUCUGUGCAUUCACAAGAGCACAGUGGAAAAUAUUUGCAUUACUAUAUAUUUAACCACAAUACCUGUCAAGGGAAAACAAUUUUAUUGUACAAGGCACUGUAUGAAGGGAAAACAAAAGGUCCAUACUUUGGAGUCGAUUUUUAUCUGAAGGAAGAAUAAUAAUCACUAUAUAUUUGAGAAGACAAUGGGCCAUUUUCAGAUAAAGAUAAUUUUUAGAAAACAUAUAACAACGCUAUAAAUUAUAGCUGAAAGAGUCAUAUUAUAAGAGUAACCCAGUUUUUGAACAACGUUAUUGCAAGCCUCUUACCUAUUUUUAUCAAAAAUGGAAUGCAUUCACAGUGAUGAAUUGAUGAUUGCAUUUAAAAGAAAAUGUGACUCCUACUCCCUCCAAACAAUAACUGCCUUCAGGACCUGAUUAAAUGUUAGAAAUUACAAUAAUAAUACCCCUUAACCAAUCAUUCUUGCAGCAUUCAUAAACUAACAUGUAGCAGAAAGUGAUUUUAAUAUGUGUGUGUGUAACUCUGGAUAAGCUUUUCUUCUGCCACCACCAGUUUAGUAAACUUUAUGUAUCUUCUGCACAGUUUUAAGAACUUAUCAGGCCUGGGUUGGAGUGACUUCUAGCCAAUAUUCUGUAUAUAUAGUUAGCCAAUAGUUGUAUAUUUAUCAGUGCUCACUUAAACACAAUGCAAACAGGUCUUUUCAUGCUCAUGUAACAACCUACCAUGGUAACAGGGAAGUUUCUGUGUUUUCAUCUAAACAAUUCACAGUAAAUUGCUGAUUUUCCCUACCCACAGACAGACCAGUGAAUUUUAAGAGACAAAUUUGAAGUAAGAAAAUCUAUAAAAUAAACUAAUUUGUCCUGGUAUAUUAGAAGUAGGGAAACUUCGUGGUUUAGACAUAUAUGGAAUUUACACCAAAAGUAUUUGUGAAUAUUCCCAUUAUGUGGAUUUGGUUUUUAAUGAUUAUAACUAUAAAGUUUGGCUGGGUUUUCAGUUUGGAAAAACGUGGUCAUUAACCUGCAUCAGGGCUGUGAGUUUAGUUGAAUUCCUUCACAAUCCAGGUUUGUUCAAUCUUGCUAUAUCUGCAUGAGAAAAUUCUUCAAGUGAGUGAGGUGAAAUUAUAUGAAGGGAUGAAAUGGCUUUUGCACAAUUAGGAAUGCAAUUUUCAUUGAUGAAGGAUAAGUAUCUAAUUAUUUUAGAAGUCUCUGUCACCAAGUUUAUUAAAAGUAUAUUUACUCUUUCCCCCCACCUCUUUUAAGAUUUAUUACCACUUGCAAAUCACUUUUAUUUAAUAUUCUUCCUUACUCCAAAACUGGUUUAUUCAAAUUUCUGAUAAUUAAUAGACACCACCAAGGGUAUUCAAACUGUGUUUAAUAUCUUCCCAAAUAUUAAAUUUUCCUUCUGUAUUAGAACAUAGUCUAUUGAGAAGACUUACUUCAAAAAUCAGCACAUCCAAAUGCCAGAGUUAGAAAUUCAAACUAGUCCAAAACAAAGAUAAAUCAGAAACCAUUGAUUACUGACUCUAUUUCAUAAUAUUUCCAAUGUUGAUGACCACUAGAGCAUUUCUACUGAUUUCAUUCUUUGAGGCUCAGUUUUCUAGUUAAAUCAUGAAUCCUUUCAGAGCUGGAAAGCUACUUGAAGCAGAAUUUUGGACCUUGUCUGUCCCAUUGCAUCAUAGCAGAGACAUGAGUCUCAAGUAAAACCUGGAGAUGAUACAUUGAGGUUAAAUACAUACAUACAACCAAUAAACAGAGACUUCUGACAGUGGGGCGUGGUGUGCAGGAUUGACAUGAGUCAGAAGUUAGAAGGGACAGGACAAAAAUUUGAUAUUCUUCAUUGCAUUUUAAGAAUCAACUUUGGUGGGACGCGCUACCUAGUAUGAGCCAAAUCAUCUUUUGAGUUCUUAGCAAUGGUUUGGGUUUUGCUCACAACCUCUUCACCAUCAGCAAAGGUGUAAAAUUCAAUGGAGAGACACCUUUGUUUUCAUCUCUCUGACCUCUUCUGACCACUGAUCACACCAAAUGUAUUAAAUUUCACCCCAUAUUGUAGUUGCAUUUCCAUUGUUUGCAGCCUUCAGAGACACACAAUAACCUGGCACUUAAGAUUGCUUGUCUUUGUUUCUCCUCCUUGGAAACUGCAGUUUCACUUUCAAAAGCUAAAUCAGCAGCUCUUCAUUUACAAGCCACAGUAAAAGUUUACCAAGUCCCACCUGGUGGCUGGAUGCUAUUGGGUUGGGCAGAUCAGACUUCACAGAAGAGAAACACAUUCCUCUGUUUAACAGACAAGGCAUGGUGUCCUCCCAAAAGUUUAGUAAGCCUUCAGGCUCAUAGCUUCAGUUAGAUGUAAAUGGCAAAAGCUACUGAACACUGUAGCUCAAAUACAGGUAAGAAGAGGUUAAAAAACAGAAGAGAAGAAACAUUUUCAUACUAACAUAAAUUGAAUUAAAUUGAACUGAAUAUUGAGUUAUGUUUUGACAUUUUCACAAUAAGCUAACAGCUAUGCAGUUGCUAAUACAGUUUUUUCCAUAGUAGAUCUUUUGCAAGUGAGCUUACAGAGAAGACAAAUUAUAAAUAAUUUAUAUAAAAAAUACAUUUAUAAUUACAUACACAUGUGCACACUUGCACUUGCAAAUAGGAACUUUUAACACAACUUUAUGCAUAUGCAGUUAUUUAACUUUAUUUUCAGUAGGUUUCUGUCACUUAUUUAUAUUUUCACACUGAUAGGGAAAUACCACUAUUUUGCCUUUGCAGUGUUUCGCUUUUCUUUCUGCUGCUUGGCUUUGCUGAUGAGAGAACACAGAUUAGUUUUUAAAUAACUGUAGGUCUUCAGAUAGCAUGGUAGCAUACCACAGAUCUGAAUUUCAGGAGCCACUACAGUGCUGGGUGAAACAUACUUAUUAGCUAUUAAUAGUGAAACUAGAACAGGCAUCAGAAGCUGCACAAGCAAACCUUAAGAAGUGCUUUCAUGUUGGAUCUCUAGACUAAACCCCUGACUGCAAUAUCAGCAAAUUCUCUCUGUGUUAGUGGAAAUUAACUUCAUAACAUAUUCCUUGUUUUCUUUGGACAUCCUUUCUGAACUUUAAGUCAUUCUUCUAACUCAAAUAUGUUUGUCUUUUGCUUGCUUUUUUAUUUCUGAUAUUCAGAUUGCAUCUUUCCAUAGUGACCAUCAGGGGCUUUUUUCCUUAGAACUGAUUUAGACUAACAGCAAAUGCUCAUCUGAGGAACUCAGGGGCCAAAUGUGGCUCAACUGGUAUAAAUAAAUAGGCAGAUGUUAUUUUCCAUCUGUGUCACUUUGUUGUCCACACAGUGAUAAUACUGUUGUCUCCACCUUUAAAGAAAACAAGGCAAAGUAAAAGUAGUAGAAAUAUACACUAUAAAACUCAGGAAAAUUAGAAUGUGACAAAUUGCAGCUUCACAUUAAAAAGAAUUAACUUCCAACCAUUAAGUACAGUUCAAUACCUAUUUAUCAAGUUAAAUUAUUUUCCUGUUGCAAAGCACAAAUAUAAUUACAGAGGUCUUUUACAUGAGGAUGGCACUUGCUUAAGGACUAUUUUUAACACUGUAUGCAUAAAUCAAGUUUAAUUUCAAUUUUAUGUCUUUUUUUUUCCCACACUUUCAGGAGAUAGGCAAACAAUGCUGGAAACAAUCUCUUGGAUGAUCAAAAUACAGUCUUUUGCUUACCAAGGGAAGUAUGCUUGUGGCAUUUUCCAUGAACUCAACAAUCCUCACCAUUAAUAGCUUGACCUGUUAUUUCCUUGUCCCCAUAACUUGUAUUGAAAGACUACUCUAGAACUUCACCACUUUUAUGGCCAGAAUCUCUCUAGCUUCCAGUUUAAAUUUAUUCAUGGCCAAAUUACACUUAUUUGUUCUUGUGCCAGCAUUGUCUGCUAGGGUAAAUAGUUUUUUUCCUUGUCUACUGUUUACCACCCUAUUGUGGUUUAAGAGAAUAAUUAUUUCCUGUAUCAGUUUUUGUUUCUACUAGACUAAACAAGCAAAAAUUUUUGAGCCUUGUUCUUAAAAGGAAUUCACUCUGGUGAUCAAUCCAGUUCUUCACCUGUUUCACCUUCCACAGAAGUGAUGAAAAAAAACUGUGUGAGAUCUCUCAGGUGCUUUAAGCAAUGGCAUAGAUUUUUAAUUUUGUCUAAUAUGAAAUAGUUUAUCUGGUUCAUGGCACUGGGUGGCAUCUGCUUUUUCAUGCAUGUAUCCCACUGGCCACUUAGCAAGCCUGCAGUCAGCUAAUAUGCAUACGUAGAUCUAUCUCCUGUGUUAUUUACAACUGAUAUGCUCCUAGUUUACAGCAUAGUUUUUAAUUAAUCCUUGACUGCAUGUCUCCAGUGCCAACACCAUGUGUUUCAAGAGUGAGUUUAGCAGUGUGUAUUUUUAAUGUGCUUUUUCCAAGGGUAACACAUGUUUGGGAUAAGCUGAUGCCAAAGAUAAUAGAAAAAUAAAAAGGAAUAAUGUUGUGAGACCAAAGAGAGGCACUCAGCACACUGACAACACCAGGCACAGCGUAUUAAGGAAUAAGGACUUUUCACAAAUGCCUCAGUGUAAUAUGAUAGAACAUAAAUGUUUGAGUGUGAUACACUGCACACAAUACAUUAGGACAUUCUUUUUUAGCCUUGUAUACUCACAGCUGCUUAAAUGUCGCAUUUCAAAAUAAUUAGGAUCAUUAUAUCAAUUACUUCCAGGGUAAAAAAAGCUUUGAUACUGCCUGGUUGUAAAGGCUCCAUUUAAGGGCCACACAUUCUGGAAUGAAGACUAUAUAACUCCUAAGUUUUAAUGGACAAGGCCACUUUCACAAACACAUUGAUGAUUUUGGACUGCACAUUCAAAUAACUAGAAAUUUAGAAACUUUGUAUCCUUAAGAAAAUAACAGAUAUUUCCUCAUUUUAACGUGGAAGCCAUCAAUCUAUAAAAUACCUUUAGCUGUGCAAUUACAGAUAGCAGGAGGGUAGUAAAUUCUAACACUUGGCAGCUUCGCUCUUCAAUAGAAAGAUAAACUAGAUUCUUGAAGUAUUUUUUAGAGAGAGAAAGAUUAUUUUAAAGUCUUGUGAUAGCUUUUUUUUUUUUAAUUAUGCAUAAGAGUGCUGGAUGAGAAAAUUUAUUUAAAAGAGUUAUCUACUAGGGCAUGCAGCUUUAGAGAAAUCUUGAAAAAUCAUUUUUGUCAGUUUUAAAUUUGAUGAGAAGGGAAUCUGUAUCUGCUCAGGAUUAUUUUAUUAAGUUAUUAAAAGGUAGUUUUACUUAGUGUGCCCUCCUUGACUAUUGCUACAUAAUACCUUCUUUGAUGUUGAAGUGGUAAAGCGAACACAUUAACUUUUUGACACAUUAGAAGUCAUGUUUAAUACGUUUUAUUUAUUAAAUAAAUAAAUGGAGGAUAAAUUAAAUAAUCUUCUGUGGAGCUGAUAGUUGUGCAAUAAACACUGGUGUACAAAGCAGGGGAAUGCCUGGAGUGCACUGGGAUACAGCUCUGGGGUUUCUGGCACAGAAAGGACAUCAGCCCGUUGGAGUGAGUCCAGAUGAGAGCCAUCAUGAUGAUCAGAGGGAUGGAGCAUGUCCCUAGUGAGGAAUGGCUGAGAGAACUGGGAUUGUUCAGCCUGGAGAAGAGAAGGCUUUGGGGUGACUUAAUUGUGGCCUUCCAGUACCUGGAGGGAGCCUGCGCAAAAGGUGAAGAGGAACAUUUCACAAGGGCAUGUAGUGAAAGGACAAGGGGAAAUGUCUUCAAACUGAGAGUAGGUUUAGAUUAGGUAUUAGAAAAAUCUUCUUGAUUGCGAGGGUGUGGAGGCACUGGAACAGUUUGCCCAGAGAAGCUGCGGAUGCCCCUCCCCUAAAAGUGUUCAAGUCUAGGCUGGAGGAGGCUUUGAACAAACUGGUCCAGUGAAAGGUUUCUCUGCACUUGGCAAAAGGUUUGAAGCUAGAUGAUCUUUAAGGUUUCUUCCAAACAAAACCAUUCUAGGAUUCUAUGAUAUGCAAAUAUUGUCUUCAAAAAGUAAAUUAAUUGAUAGUUCUGUCAUAAGAGUUUAUUUUCUUUACCCAUAAUUCACUGUAUUUUUAGAAAUAUUUGAUAUCAGAAACUUGCAGGCCUUCACUGCAUCAGGGUGCAACCGAGUGAUCAUAUUAACUUGACAAGAUUAAUUUCAAAACUGUUCUUUCCCUUAGUACACCCCUUUCUUUUUUUUGCUAGUUAUAAUUAAUAAAAGUAUUUUUCAAACUGGGACAAAGAUUUUUUAUUAGUCUUUCCUCUUUAGACAAUGAUACACUUUUUGUGUUGAUAAAGGAAAGGUAUUUACAAAGUGCCUGACAAAGUGAAGCAUCACAGAAAGUAAAACGUAGUAGUGGGUAACAUUACCCCACUGAUUUUAAUCUCAUAGAGGGUUUGGGCUAAUUAAGAAAGAAUAAAACUACAUAUGACACAUAACAGACACAUUGCUUUAUAUACUGCUGGAGGAUACACAGGACCAUAGGGGUCAUUGCAAGAACAUACAAGAAAAAUAAAACACAAUUUCUGCAUCCAAGUACAGCAUGUUUUGCAGAUAAACAUGGCAUAUACUUGUUUGACAAGAUGUUCUUUUGCACAGCAUAAUUUUGUUAUUAAUACAGAUUCUACACAGACAGAUACUUGUUAAGUGAUUUGAGAUAGCUGGGGCAGGGGGCAGGCAAAGAGCAGAGAAUCACCCUUCAGCAUUUAAUUACAUGUGAAACACUCACUUAAUACAAAAUAAGAGUUUCUCCUCUUGUGCAGUACCUUCUAGUGCUAUUUUGAAAUGAAAAUCAAUAAUAAUUUCCCAAGAUGAGAAAAUUUAUGCUUCUCUGAGGAGCUGGCCUCACCAGUAAGUUAAAACUGUUUGGCACCUAUAUGGAGAAGCGUCCAGAAAAUAUUUUCUGUGUAAAACAGAGAUUGUUUUUUUCCUCUGUUGUUUUCUCUUUAUUACUUGUGUUAGUUUUCUUGCUAUUAGAUUUCUUGGAGUUCUGAUUCAGGGCAAAAUAGAUCUGUUGUUUCCUGAAAGAAGAUUACUUAGUAUGGAGAUGGUAAGGUAUCUUUGGUGAAAUAAAUCCAUUUUAAGAGGGCUGAGGUGGAUGUAAACCAGAAGGAUAUGAUAAGUCUCAAUUUCACAUUGUAAGGAGUACCAUGUUAACUCAAGACAAAAAUGGAACAAAAAUCUGCUCUGGGAAUUAGGAGCCGUGCAUCAGCAGGGAUGCUGCUGUGCCAUGCAGACUGAUGGGACAGCAGCACAGAGCCAUGUGCCCUGCUCCAGCACUGAUUCCAGCUUCCCCUUCCCCAUCCCCUGGGAUGGCAGUAGCUUAAAAUGAUAUAGUCUGCAAUGAUACAGGUCUACAUUAUAUGAGGGCUUUGGCACCUUGGUCCUGCUUUAGAGUAGUUUAAUGCUGAGAGAAACUCUAUAGAUGAUGAGGAUUUUUCUGUCUUUCAAGUGACACCUUAAAAUCAGGCAUGUCAGGGCAUAUUUUGUGUGUAUGUCUGGAGUGUUGUAUGCAAGUAUUUGUUGACUUGUGCUUUCAGAGAAGGCAGUAUGAGUAUUGUGCACAGCCUGUGUGACUACUGAAAUUAUAUAUUUGAGUCACAAAUGUGCUCCCAGUCUCACUGCCCACACAUUUCCUGCUGCUUUGCACACAGAACUGCAACAGGCAGGGCUGGUUUAGGAAGCUAUUUGCUCUUAGUAGAGCAUGCAUUCCCCAGUGGAGGUGGGAAGUGAAAGAAACUGUACCAACUGGGAGCCAAAUAGCAGACAUGGUGAGAUGCUGCAACUGAUGAAGGUUUAUAAUACCAGGUUAUUUCCAAUUUCUUUAAAUAAAUUGAUUAUUUAUUUCCAGUUUCUUUAAUAAUUGCAGGUUACUGUAAUUAUAAAAAAAAAAAAACAAACCAGGAAAUAAAUAGUCAAUUCCUCCCUUACAAGCACUUUAUAUAUGAGAUGUGCAAAAUGGUUGAGUUGAAAGUGAGAUAAGGCUGCUUAGGCUGUGCACCCGAGCUGGAUGUGGGUUACUCCCUUUUAGGUGUGUGGUCUAAGCUUCAGGUGAUGGGAGUGGUUCCAUGUUUUUUGAAGUUUUUCUUCUUUUUUCAUUUUCCUCCUGGCAUAUCACAGGCCUUUCCCAUGAGCAGUGUCAGCAGCAAAAAUCAAGCAGAUGUCUCAUGGGGCUGUUCCCAUUUUGGUACUACAGUAUUACAUACACUGGGUCACCAAACUUUCUUUUUGCAUGUUCCCCUCUGUCUGAGCUUAAGCUAAACAGUUUGUUCAUUUAAAAAACACUAUAAAUGCCCUAGAAACCACCAAAAAUUACCCUCACAAAACCCUUGAAAGUUCACUUCCAAAUUUGAAUCUGGUCUUUCUUUUUGUCCAAUCCUGAGACUUUAUCCUCGACUUUGUUGAGUCAUUGCAAGCUUUGUGUCAUUUGCAGAAUCCUAGAAGGUGGAUUACUGUAAAGUAAGAACAGACUUUUAGAGGCUUCCAGUGUGACCAUCCAGGUUGAAAGUCCUUUUAAUAAACUUAAUCAGUCAAUGAUAAUAAAAAAAGAAUUUUUCACACCAUUCUGGCUUUAUUAGCAGGGAAAAAAACCCAAUAAAACAGAUACCCUGACAAAAUAAAAAACCAGCAGGUUCACUUAUUACUAAAAAGUAUAAAAUGUUAACAUAAAAGGUAUUUUUAAAGUAACAUUUAUGAGUGUUAUACACAUGAACAUUGAACAUAUAUUCCCUUAAAACAUCUAGUAAGGAAAUAAAACAUCCAUUUGCAUUUUACUUUUGCACAUAGGUUUAUAAAGAUAACAUAUGUAUCUUUUUGUAUGCUGAGCCAUUGCUUUGUCUCUGUCUCAGCCUGUCCAGGGUGUAUGAAUAUUGACUAACAUACACCCCACGAUGUAUUAUUGCUUACUUGAAGCAUAAUACUGCAUGACCUUGUUUUUUCUCUUAAUUAUAUUUUUCCCUUGUAGGAAAGUAAGUUUACUCACUCUGAAUCGUGCCAAACCGCAUAAUUUGGAAAAGAAUAUUGUGGCUCAACUUGGAAAGUACUAACUGGGCUCCAGCCAUCACUGGGAAAGCUGUAUAGUCUUUUACUAUUUUAACUGGCCAAAUGCCCUUUGUUACCACAUUAACAGUCUCCCUGUGGUGCAUGUAACUUUGAUAUUAUUUCCACUUUUAAGCUAAAUUUGACCAGAUGAAAGACACAAACCCUCCAAUUUUGAAAUAAAAAAUACAGCAUGUUUUGUUAAUCCUGUACUUCAGAAGGAAAGCCUGUGAAAACGAUAACCUUUGUCUGCUGGCCAAAGUUUUUGUUCAGUAAACCCAUCCUGCCAGCUGUUCUCGUUGGCAAGAGGAAAGAUAAUAUUUUGGUAUCUUUAAUAUCUCCAUUUUGAGCCGAAGUUCUGCUUGUGCCAUCAUUUAAAUCAUGCAUGUUAACAUCGGUCUGGCGAACAAUGCUGCCCUUAAUAAAAAGACCUCAGUUUGGAUGGUAUCACCGUAAUGUUGCAAUAAAGCUGCUUCAGAUUGCCACAUACAGCUUAAAUCAUCCACUGCCUAUGGACUUUUGCAGGUGCUGUGGACUGUGCUGCUGGAGAAUUACUUUCAAAGGCCUGAAGAAGACACUGAGGGAGAUUCAAAGGUGCAUUUUGGUCCAAUGACAUCAGGAGCUAAAGGCGCAAAACACCUCAAAAGUCUGGGCUCCCACUCACAUGCCUUUGGUCCUCAUAUCUUGAAGCAGACUAAACAAGGAUCACCUUGGUGACUAAGAUCCAGUCCCCAGCAAAUGAGGAGGGACGGCCAGAUAGAAACACUGGUAUUUCUAAGAGACACAAAGUGGUCACCUAAAGCUCUAGGCCUAGACAGAUAAACUUCCCACAUUGACAAUAUCUGAAUCAACAUGUGCAUAGGGAAAGCUCUCUCUCCAGAUCCAUUUUUGACUGCAAGUUUUAAUUUCUUUUGGAACAUAAAGGGUGUUCUCAUCACGUUUAAGAACAUUUAAGAAUGUCUUUCUCAGUUUACAGGUAACCUGAAGCCAGGGUGGUUACAGGCAUAUUGGAUCCCACACCUUGGCAAAGGAUUAUUUCUGCACAUGUUUCAGGACAGCUCAGCACUAAAGACUUAUAAGGAGAGAGGAAAAAAUGUAUGAUUCUGGAAAACUUUGAUUGGAUCCCUUGAAGGUUUCAAAGAUGUCUUAAAGUCCUCAAUGAGCGCAAGCAAAAUGAUUCGUAUAAAAGUUAGCUUUCAACACUGCAGAUAGAGCUACAAGUACUUAUUUGAUGUUUUCUUGCUUGCUGAACUGCCAGAGCCUUUCAGGGUACAUGUCAGGUAAGGUAAAUCCAUUAAUCAAAUGCAAAAGCACCAGGGAAACAUAUUUUAAAAUGACAAAUACUUUUUGGUAGCAGUAUCUAAGAUUACUUCCCCGAGUUUGGCUUUUUGCAGUUAGCAUGCCUCAUGCACCAGCCUGCCCGCUCCCCAUAUAUCUCUAUGUUAUUAUUAAUGUGUACUGCAGCUCCACAAAGGUGUGAUGGGUGGAACUUGGCCCAGAGACCUUGAUCAGAGGGAAACUGUAAACCCUGGCCUCUCUGGAAGGGCAGUGUUCCUACUCUCCUGCUCCAAACCCUGCCAUGGGAGGCUGAGCACCCCAGGCAGCAUCGUCCUGCGCAGUACAAAGCCAGGGCAGCCACCAGGACAUCGCCAGGAAAUGUGCCAAGCUCAGCCCCACAGGUUGAGUUACUGACACUUGCCAGCUGCUCCGUAUGUGGAAGAACUUCAACACCUUCCCCUUGCAUUACAAAUACAGGUAUUGUAAAUAAUACAAUUAAGGCAGUAAAUAAAGGUAGUGUGCUGAGAGAUAAAGAAACAUCUUCCAUUUUUAAACUUCGUUCACAACUUUGAAAAAGUAGAUGGUCAUAUAAUUUUAAAUGAAAGGAAAAGUAAUUGGGGAAAAAAGAAUCCACAGACACAGUACAUGAAGCAGACCAUGAAAGCCAUCUGACCUGUCAUUUGAAUCCUUCUGUAUCAAAGAACCAUGUUAACAAUAACUGUAAUGAAAUUAGACUUACUAUGCA